rnacentral:lncRNA from 1 species
CUAUUUCUAUAGUAAUUUUUGCAUAAUAUUUUGGGUAAACUUCAAAUACUAUUUCUAUGGUUUUGUACUUUUUUUAAUUUAACAUUCUAUGAUUUAAAGUAUAUCAAUUUACCGUUAUGUGAUUUUAUUUUUUUUCUUUUUAUCAGCCUAUCCGUUAACUUUUCGUUAAAUCAUAUACAAAAAACUUUAAAUAUCCCAUCCAUAGUUUAUCGAAUAUAUUGACUUUAAUACUCUUUAGUUUUAACUCUGGAAGUGAUUUAAUGAAAAAAAAACUAGUGGAGGGAUAACAAAAAGAGAAAAAUGAAACCACAUGGUAUGAAAGUGAUACAUUUUAAACCACAUGAUACUAAAGUGAGAAAGUGCGAAAGAACAAGGAUGGUAUUUGAAGUCUUUCCUAAUAUUUUUGCGUGAAUAAUACUACCCAUAUACUCCCGAAGGAGUAUAUACCAUCAUAGUUAGUUAAUUCGGAUUCGGCAAAAAUUCGGUACGGAUAUAAUUCGGAUAAAAUUCGUCUUUUAAUUUUUAAAUUCGUUGAAAAAUACGACUAAAAAACGGAUUCGGUAAUUAUUCGGAUACGUGAUUUGUAUGGAUAUUAUACGUUCACCAAUUAAAAAUUUAGAAUAAAAAAUUCGACCAUAUAAUAAAUAUAUAAUAAUUAAUAUACUAUAUAUAUUAUUAUUAUAAUUUUUAUAUAUAGAUUAAAUAUAUUUAAAAUUAUAAUAAAUAUAUAUUAAUAAUAUAUAAGAGUUAUAUAUUUACAAAUAUUAAUAAAUAAUUACAAAUUUAUAAAUAAAAUAUUA